GAUCAUGGCUCAGGAUGAACGCUAGCUACAGGCUUAACACAUGCAAGUCGCGGGGCAGCAUUUCAGUUUGCUUGCAAACUGGAGAUGGCGACCGGCGCACGGGUGAGUAACACGUAUCCAACCUGCCGAUAACUCGGGGAUAGCCUUUCGAAAGAAAGAUUAAUACCCGAUGGCAUAAUUAGACCGCAUGGUCUUAUUAUUAAAGAAUUUCGGUUAUCGAUGGGGAUGCGUUCCAUUAGG
rnacentral:rRNA from 1 species